rnacentral:rRNA from 1 species
GACGAACGCUGGCGGCGCGCCUAACACAUGCAAGUCGAACGGAGCGUACUGUGUGAAGCCCUUCGGGGUAGAACUUUGUAUUGCUUAGUGGCGAACGGGUGAGUAACACGUGAGCAACCUACCCUAGAGUGGGGGACAACAUCUGGAAACGGAUGCUAAUACCGCAUAAGACCACGAGGUCACAUGACCUUGAGGCCAAAGGAUUUAUUCGCUUUAGGAUGGGCUCGCGCCUGAUUAGCUAGUUGGUAAGGUAACGGCUUACCAAGGCAACGAUCAGUAGCCGGACUGAGAGGUCGAUCGGCCACAUUGGGACUGAGACACGGCCCAGACUCCUACGGGAGGCAGCAGUGGGGAAUAUUGCACAAUGGGGGAAACCCUGAUGCAGCGACGCCGCGUGAGUGAAGAAGUAUUUCGGUACGUAAAGCUCUAUCAGCAGGGAAGAAAAUGACGGUACCUGACUAAGAAGCCCCGGCUAACUACGUGCCAGCCGCCGCCGUAAGAC